rnacentral:rRNA from 1 species
GAUGAACGCUGGCGGUGUGCCUAAUACAUGCAAGUCGAGCGAACGGACGAGAAGCUUGCUUCUCUGAUGUUAGCGGCGGACGGGUGAGUAACACGUGGAUAACCUACCUAUAAGACUGGGAUAACUUCGGGAAACCGGAGCUAAUACCGGAUAAUAUUUUGAACCGCAUGGUUCAAAAGUGAAAGACGGUCUUGCUGUCACUUAUAGAUGGAUCCGCGCUGCAUUAGCUAGUUGGUAAGGUAACGGCUUACCAAGGCAACGAUGCAUAGCCGACCUGAGAGGGUGAUCGGCCACACUGGAACUGAGACACGGUCCAGACUCCUACGGGAGGCAGCAGUAGGGAAUCUUCCGCAAUGGGCGAAAGCCUGACGGAGCAACGCCGCGUGAGUGAUGAAGGUCUUCGGAUCGUAAAACUCUGUUAUUGGGGAAGAACAUAUGUGUAAGUAACUGUGCACAUCUUGACGGUACCUAAUCAGAAAGCCACGGCUAACUACGUG